CUGAGAUUUUUGACCACAAAGACGCCAUGGACGAGAUGAAUGUUCUACGCUCUGAAAAGAUGGAGGAAAACGACAAAAGCUGGAACAUUAUGUAUGUUUGGCAGGUUGUGGGCCCAUCAGUGUAGCAAUCUGCAAAAAAAAAAAAACCUGCCGCCACACACAUACAGCCUCACUGCUGCAGGGAAACAGACGUCGUGCGCAUAAUUUCCUAACUGGCAAACACAAAACACAGGUGAGGACAGCCCGAGCCAGGACCGCACGCGUGACACAUGAACAAUGACGACAGUUUUGCAGCGCGGAAAUGCCAACGCUGCCUCUGUGUUGCUCCAUCCGUACUCGGACGCUCUCUGCUUCCUGGAGAAGCUGCCAACACAUAAGCACCUCAUUUAUUUUUUUUACGUGGAAACAGAACCGUGUGAACCCAGAAGCGGGCUAAACUCAUCAGAAUGAAUAAUUGUGUUUAUUAAACCACAUGUCUAAGGGAUGAUGUUGGCCUCCAGCAGUUCUCGGAUCUUUACAUGUUCACAUGAACACAGACGCUAGAGCCAAAUAAUAAUAAAACACAAAAAUCAAGAAGCAAAAACUAAAAGGCUAUUUAUAAUGUUUACAGCCAACCAGUCUCCUCUGGAGAUGAAAUUGUUGCGGUAUCAGGUCACAGAAUAUUGAGCAUGUGGACACUACACACGUUAACAAAACCAAAACUGUCUAUUUAAUGCUCUCUGUGGCAAGGAGAAAGGAAUAAUUGUGACUCUUAAACCCUUAAAGAUCUAGCUCCUCAUUGCCAGCAUGAGAAAGUAACCUUGGAGAACUACUGCCAACAGUUAUCAUCUUUAGUCACUUUCAACUUAUCAAGUCUGUGAGGUGCUAAAAGGAAACCUUUGGUGAAAACUUUUUGUAUUCUAAAUGCUAUUAACUUUCGUAAUUCACCAAAAUGACUAAACCAUAGUAAUAAAAUUAACUCCAGUU